CACCUUCUACUCAGUGGUCUGCUCUACCCUGGACUACAGGCUCUGGAUGAGGAGUAUCUGAAAGUAGAUGCCCAGUUUUGAGGAGUCGAUGAGGAAGAUCUUCACCCUGGCUGAGAAGUACCUGCCCUCCCUGGGCUAUGCUGGGCGGUCCCAUCUGAUGAACCCCAUGGUACCAGGACUGACUGGAGCCAAGAUGA